GACGAACGCUGGCGGCGUGCUUAACACAUGCAAGUCGAGCGGAAAGGCCACUUCGGUGGUACUCGAGCGGCGAACGGGUGAGUAACACGUGAGUAAUCUGCCCUUGGCUUUGGGAUAGCCACCGGAAACGGUGAUUAAUACCGGAUACGACCACUUCUUGCAUGGGAUGGUGGUGGAAAGUUUUUUCGGCCAGGGAUGUGCUCGCGGCCUAUCAGCUUGAUGGUGAGGUAAUGGCUCACCAUGGCUUCGACGGGUAGCCGGCCUGAGAGGGUGACCGGUCACACUGGGACUGAGACACGGCCCAGACUCCUACGGGAGGCAGCAGUGGGGAAUAUUGGACAAUGGGCGGAAGCCUGAUCCAGCAACGCCGCGUGAGGGAUGACGGCCUUCGGGUUGUAAACCUCUUUCAGCAGGGACGAAGCGCAAGUGACGGUACCUGCAGAAGAAGCACCGGCCAACUACGUGCCAGCCGCCGCCGUAA
rnacentral:rRNA from 1 species